GUAAUCCCAGCACAUGGGGAAGCCGAGGCAGGUGCAUCACGUGACUCCAGGAGUUCAAGACCAGGAAGGUCGACAUAGCAAAACCACCUCUCUACCGGAAAUACAAAAAUUAGCCAGUUCAUGGUGGCGCACUCCUGUAGUCCCAGCUACUUAUACUUGGGAGGCUGAAGCAGGAAAAUCACUUAAACAUGGGAGGUAGAAGGUGCAAUGAGCCAGUAUCGUGCCAUUGCACUCCAAACUGGGUUUCAGAGCAAGACUCCAUCUCAAAAAAAAAAAAAA